rnacentral:rRNA from 1 species
GACGAACGCUGGCGGCGUGCUUAACACAUGCAAGUCGAACGGAAAGGCCCUGCUUGCAGGGUGCUCGAGUGGCGAACGGGUGAGUAACACGUGGGUGUUCUGCCCUGCACUUCGGGGUAAGCCUGGGAAACUGUGUCGAAUACCGGAUAGGAGCCAUUCUUAGUGUGAUGGUUGGAAAGUUUUUUCGGUGUAGGAUGAGCGCGCGGCCUAUCAGCUUGUUGGUGGGGUAAUGGCCUACCAAGGCGGCGACGGGUAGCCGGCCUGGGAGGGUGGACGGCCACAUUGGGACUGGGAUACGGCCCCGACGCCUACGGGAGGCAGCAGUGGGGAAUAUUGCCCAAAGGGCGCAAGCCUGAUGCAGCGACGCCGCGUGGGGGAUGACGGCCUUCGGGUUGGAAACUCCUUUCGCUAGGGACGAAGCUUUUUGUGACGGUACCUAGAGAAGAAGCACCGGCUAACUACGUG